GCAUGAAGUCGGAAUUGCUAGUAAUCGCGGAUCAGCAUGCCGCCGGUGAAUACGUUCUCGGGCCUUGUACACACCGCCCGUCACACCAUGGGAGUCGGUAACACCCGAAGUCUGUAGCCUGACGCAAGAGGGCGCAGCCGAAGGUGGGAUUGAUGACUGGGGUGAAGUCGUAACAAGGUAGC
rnacentral:rRNA from 1 species